AGUAACGGCGAGUGAAGCGGUAAUAGCUCAAAUUUGAAAUCUGGCCUCUCGGGGUCCGAGUUGUAAUUUGUAGAGGAUGUUUUGGGUACCGCCCCGGUCUAAAUUUCUUGGAACAGAAUGUCAAAGAGGGUGAGAAUCCCGUCUUGGACCGGCGGUAGGGCUCGUGUAAAACUCCUUCGACGAGUCGAGUUGUUUGGGA
rnacentral:rRNA from 1 species